rnacentral:lncRNA from 1 species
UGCAUAGACGAUAAGCCAUAUCCAGCAAUAUACCAGGUUUCGAAGGAAAAAGCAAAAAGCUUGGGGCUUGAAUAUACUCCUUUGGAAGUGAGCCUGAAGGACACUGUGGAAAGCUUGAAGGAAAAGAAGUUUACCCCAUUUUAAGUUGUUACCCAUCAAGAAAUGUGGAAACCUUCUUUACUUAUUCACUUACUUCUUAUGCUUAUGAAUAAAUUUGUUGUGAAAUAAGACUUAAAUCAGAACUAGUAAGUACUGAAAUAAGUUAUUCAUAGUGUGGUAUGUACGAGUGACAAUUAAGUUUUCAAACAUGCUUAUCAAAGUUUGCAUUAGAGAUUGUAUCUAGAAAGGACCCAAGAUAUCCAAUGUCUUUGAAGCAUAAGCGUUUUAAAUAAUACUAAGAAAAAAUAUGCACUUUUUGCUAUUUACCCUUUUCUUUGCUCCUAAUUAUACCCCUUUUUUAUUUUAAUAUAUCUAAAUUUACCUCUUGAUUUCCAUUCAUGGCUUCUAUUGUAACAUGUUUUAUAUAUCACCUUUGCCAUUUUUCCAAAGAAUAUACAAAUAAUAAUGUUACGUACGUCUCUAAAUAAUCUUGCAUAAUGUUUGUUAGAUGUUCGACGAAAGUAUUUAAGGAUGUGUGAUGUUUUCAUUAUGCAUACUUCUUUGGUUAGGUCUCUAAAUAAUUAGGGAACAACAUUUUCCUGAACCAUCAGAACUUGACCAACCUCAACAACACAACUUACUCCUUCAACUUAUGAGAGGUUGAUGGGUUGGUGUAGAGAUUUUACUGAGAGAAGAAGAAGGAAGUGAAGACAUUGAAGAAGAAGAAGAAGAAAAUUAUAUUCAUUUGAUAAGUGGGGAUAGUUAGUGAUGUUUAAACAAUGGAGGAAUGGAAGUGUGUGAAGUAGCAUGAUUAAAUUCCAUUAGGGUUGCGUUAUGCACGUGUCUCUGUAGUUUAUUUAGAGAAAUGUUUAUUUGAGAUAAUUAUGUUCAACUCUCCACCAUAUUUUAAUUAUUUAUAUUUUUUUUUAAUUUUAAAAUAUAUUUUAAUAUUUUGUAUUUUGUUUAUAUUUUUAAUAAAAAAAAUUAUUUUUUUAAAUUUAUUUUUAUUAUAAAUAUUAAUAUUUUGUUUGUUAUAUUCUAAUAAGUAUUAAUAUUUUAAUUAUUUAUAAUUUUUUUAAUUUUAAAAAUAUUUUAAUAUUUUGUAUUUUGCUUAUAUUUUUAAUAAAGAAUUUUUUUUAUUUUUUUAUUUUUUUUUAUUAUAAAUGUUAAUGUUUUGUUGUGGUUGUAAAGUGAAGUUCGUGUCAAUAUCAUCUUCCAUUUAUUUAUGUCUAACUACCAACCAUGUGCCCUUCUCUACAACAUUUUGCUUCUUUAAAAACCUCAGUCUGAGAGUGACUCAACACAGCACAUUUCAGCGCUCAACUCAGAGAAGAAGAAGUUAAUCCAGAAUGUGCACCGGCGCCGGACAAGUAGUGUGUGUUACCGGCGCUUCCGGUUACAUCGCUUCCUGGCUCGUGAAGUUUCUCCUCCAACGCGGUUACACUGUUAAGGCCACUGUUCGCGACCUAAGUAUGUGCUUUUCUUCUUCUAUAUUACUUUUUCUUUUCCUCUCUCAAUUUUACUAUUUCGAAAAUUAAUUAAAGAUUGAAUAAUUUGUGAUGUGCAGGUGAUCCCAAAAAGGUAGAUCACUUGCUUAACCUUGAUGGUGCCAAACAGAGGUUGCAUCUGGUGAAAGCGAAUCUUCUAGAAGAAGGUUCUUUUGACUCUGCCGUACAAGGUUGUCACGCUGUGUUUCACACUGCUUCUCCCUUUUUUAGUGGUGCCAAGGAUCCGCAGGUUGUUUGGUUACGAAUUCCAUUUGAGCAUUUUUUUUUGUUUAUCUGUGGCUGUAUAUAAACAUUUUGUUUUUACUUAAUGUUUUUCAGACUGAGUUGUUGGAUCCGGCUGUGAAGGGGACUCUGAAUGUUCUGAAAUCGUGUGUGAACUCGCCGACGCUGAAACGCGUCGUUUUAACUUCUUCGGUUGCCGCCCUAUUGAACAACGAAAGGCCUAAAACCCCUGAUGUGGUGGUUGACGAGACUUGGUUUUCCGACCCUGAAUUCUGCAGGAAAAACGGGGUAUGUGCCGUUUCCUCGAAUCAACUUUCAUAGAUGCCAUGCAUGGACUUUGCCGGAAAAUAAAGUUCAAUGAAACUCUACCUGGACACUUUCUACCAAAUUUUAAAUCAAUCCAAAUUGGUGUUAAUUUUCUUUUUUCCAGAUUUAGCUCUUAAAUAGUAAUUAAUGAAGCAAACAUAUUUUAUGAUAGGUCUAGCAAUUUUAUAUUCACUAUUAUAUUCAUGGUUCAAUUCCCUAUCUAGCAUCAUUUGCUAUUUUAUUUUCCUACCUAGUAUUCUUUUGUUUUUAUUUUUCUAUCUAACACCCUUUUGUUUUUAUUUCCCUAUCUAGCACCCUUUUAUUUUUUAUUUCUCUAUCUAGCACUUUUUCAAAAAUAAAUAAAUAAAAAAUUAAUUUUAUUUUAUAAUUUUAAUUUUGAAUACAUUAAAAAAUAAGUAUUUUUAAUGUUUAAAAUAGUUAGAAAUAUAAUUAAUGAAUAAAUAAAUGAGUUUUUACAAAAUAAAAAUAAAAAAUUAAUAAAUUAAAAAUGUUUAGUUUUAAGAAUGAAGAAAAUAAAAAAUUAAACUCUACAACAAAAUAAAAGUUGAAUCUAUAAACAUAAAUUAGUAUUUAUUUUUAUUAUUAUUGAUGAUGUAAUCAUGUUAAUUUCAAGUAAAAAAUACAGGACAUAAUUAUAAAAAAAUCAAAGUCAAUUAGUAUUAAUUAAUAUUGAACGCACAAAAAAAACUAAUACAAUUGCUACACUUAAUGCUUAAAAAUGAGAAGAAGAAAAAUGUAAAAAUAAAUAAAUAUAGAAAAUAAAAACAGCAACAUUGCAACAUAUCUUUCAUGUUACGAAAAACUAUUUGAUGGAACUAAAAAAUAAAGAGUAUUGGCCUGCAUACACCAGUCAAAUACUAUGCUCAAGUCCUGACAUGAAAAUAACCUCAAAGGGAAGACCUAAGUCAAGUCAAAUAAGGACUGAUAUUGACAUAAGAGAACAACAUGAUCGAACACAAAAAAAAAACAUGUUCCAACAUUAUUGGAUUGUGCUUUUCUCGUCCUUAAUCAUCUUUCAUUUAUUUUUCUUUUUAUGAUCAACAUCUACUCAUUUAGUAUCGUCUUAUAUCUCUUAUUUUUAUCUUGUUUGGAAUUUUGUAUAUUAAAUGAAUAAUCAUCUUUCAUUUAUUUUUCUUUUUAUGAUCAACAUCUACUUAUUUAGUAUCGUCUUAUAUCUCUUAAAAAAAACAUGUCCCAACAUCAUCAAUAAUAAUAAUAAAAAUACUAAUUUAUGUUUAUAGAUUCAACUUUAAACUAAGCAUUUUUAAUUUAUUACCUUUUUUUUAUUUUGUAAAAACUCAUUUAUUUAUUCAUUAAUUAUAUUUCUAACUAUUUUAAACAUUAAAAAUACUUAUUUUUUAAUGCAUUCAAAAUUAAAAUUAUAAAAAAAAAUUAAUUUAUUAUAAAACUGUAGGUAACAGCCAAAAUCCGUAGCAAUAUAUAAUAAUUUUUAUGAUUAUUUUUGUCAAUUAUUAUAUAUGAUAUGAGAAUUAUAAUUAAUGUUAGAACUAAACUACAGUAGGUGAAAGUCGAAGCCAAGUCCCUUAAGGAAUGUCCAUAGAAGCUUUAACCAUUACACUAAUCAAAUUUUAUUGUCAUGUUAUGAUUAUUAUUAUACUUAUGAGUAUAAAUAUCAAUAUUAAUAUAAUUAAUAAAAUAAAAAUUAAUAACAUUAUUCAUAUAUUUAAUGUCAUUAUUAUUAUUAAUAUUGUUAAAUAUUCUUAAUAUUAUUAAAUAAUCUUAAAUAUUCUUAAUAUUAUUAUAAAUUCUUAAUAUUAAUAAAUAUUCUUAAAAUUAUUAUAUAUUCUUAGUAUUAUUAACUAUUAUUAAAUAUUAUUAAUAUUAUUAAAUAUUAAAUAUUAUUAAUAUUGUAAAUAUUAAUAAUAUUAUUAAAUACUAUUAAUAUUAUUAAAAUUAUUAAUAUUCUUAAAUAUUCUUAAUAUUAUUAAUAUUAUUAAUAUUCUUAAAUAUUGUUAAAUAUUUUUAAUAUUAUUAAAUAUUAUUAAUUUUAUAUUAAUAUUUUUAAUAUUAUGUAUAUAAUUAUUAUGAUAAUAGGUGGUAGGUAAUAGAGAUUCGUGGAUGAUAGUUCGUAGGUAAAAAGAGAUUCGUGAGUAAUAAUUGGUAGGUAAUAGAGAUCCGUAGGUAAAAGUUGUUGGUAGAAUAAGAUUCGCGAGUAAUAGUUGGUAGGUAAUAGAGAUUUGUAGGUAAAAGUUGGUAGAUAAUGCUGAAUUUACCUACAGAUUCAGAAUCUGUGAGUAAUGUCCGUAGGUAAUGUUGUUCGUAGGUAAUGAUGAAUUUACCUACGGACUCAGAUUCGUGGGUAAAAAUCCGUAGAUAAUACAAAUGUUUUUUUUUUGUAGUAAUUAUAUGUUAUAUGUUGUUGACAUUAAUUUGUUGGUAUUUGACAUUUAUAUAUGUUACAGGGAUGGUAUAACCUUUCAAAGACUUUGGCAGAAGAGGUUGCGUGGAAAUUUGCAAAGGAAAACAAUAUUGAUUUGGUUACAAUAAACCCAGCAUUGGUCACUGGACCUCUCUUACAACCAGUCCUUAACACCAGUGCUGCUGCAGUUUUAAAUUUUGUUAAUGGUAAUUACUAUUUUUACAUUAUUAUAUAUGCUCUCAAUUUUCUAUUUUUCCCUUUUUCUGCAUAUCUUCAUUAUGAAAAGGAAAAGGAGGCUUAAUAAUAUAAGUUAGGGUAAAUUUACACCAUUCAAGUUCUUCUAGGAUAAAAAUAUUACGAUUAAAAUUGGUUUAAUUUGAGUUUCAAUUUAUCAAUGAAAAUUAAAAAUAAUUACACGGGACAUCAAUCUGCAAUUAAAAUAAUAAUUUUUUUAAAAAAAAACUAUCAAUUUUUUUAAAAAUUAACCACCAUUUCACUUACAGAAAUACAAAAAUUUCAAUCAUUUUAAUACUAGAAGAAUUUGGAUCGUUUAAAAUUUAGACAAUGAAAACUAAUUUGAUAUUAUAAAACAUAUUUAAUCUUUAAGAUUUUAAGAUUUUUAGCUGCACGAUUCUUACAUAAUUGAAGAAAUUGUUGCAUCGCCUUUGUACAGGUUCGCCAACAUUUAGAAAUGUAACUUUGGGAUGGAUCGACGUGAGAGAUGUUGCAAAUGCCCAUAUUCUAGCAUAUGAGAAUGCUUCAGCUAAUGGAAGAUAUUUACUGGUUGAGAGAGUGGAACAUCACUCAAAUGCUAUCAAGAUCUUACGUGAUUUGUACCCAACAAUACAACUUCCAGAGAAGUGAGUAUAACUAUUUUCAUCAUAGUUUCAACAUUGCAUACCAUUCAUAUAACUUUGUUACGUGUUUGCAAAUUAUAAAUAGUUCUUGUUUUUGUUCUUCUGAUUUUUCUAAUACCCUUUUACUCCAACACAUUACAGGUGUAUAGACGAUAAGCCAUAUCCAGCAAUAUACCAGGUUUCGAAGGAAAAAGCAAAAAGCUUGGGACUUGAAUAUACUCCUUUGGAAGUGAGCCUGAAGGAUACUGUGGAAAGCUUGAAGGAAAAGAAGUUUACCCCAUUUUAAGUUGUUACCCAUCAAGAAAUGUGGAAACCUUCUUUACUUAUUCACUUACUUCUUAUGCUUAUGAAUAAAUUUGUUGUGAAAUAAGACUUAAAUCAGAACUAGUAAGAACUGAAAUAAGUUAUUCAUAGUGUGGUAUGUACGAGUGACAAUUAAGUUUUCAAACAUGCUUAUCAAAGUUUGCAUUAGUGAUUGUAUCUAGAAAGGACCCAAGAUAUCCAAUGUCUUUGAAGCAUAAGCAUUUUAAAUAAUACUAAGAAAAAAUAUGGAC